rnacentral:rRNA from 1 species
UACGAAGGGGGCUAGCGUUGUUCAGAAUUACUGGGCGUAAAGCGUGCGCAGGCGGCUUCUCAAGUCAGGGGUGAAAGCCCAGAGCUCAACUCUGGAAUUGCCUUUGAGACUGAGCGGCUUGAGUACGAGAGAGGUGAGUGGAAUUCCCAGUGUAGAGGUGAAAUUCGUAGAUAUUGGGAAGAACACCGGUGGCGAAGGCGGCUCACUGGCUCGUAACUGACGCUCAUGCACGACAGCGUGGGGAUCAAACAGG